CAGAGGCUGAGAGGUAAUGAGAGCCAAUUCAGCCUUGUUAGGGAUUGUUUGUGUUGUGCCUGUGUGUAUAUUUAAUAAAAGAAAAAGGCUACAGACAGGACUCACUUGGCAACUACUAUGAAACCCCAUGGAGACAGAGAGGGAGAGAGAGAUACUGAAAUGUAGUUAGAGUUCCCUCCUGAUUGCAGGCUGGAAUCUGGGGCAGCAGCAAGAGAUCACAAGGCUGCUUUGCUGGGACUCUGAUGCCAAAAUGUGCUGAUUCCACAUCUUUAAUUGCAGCGUGAGAUGUUCCCUUCACUCCACUCAGCCAGUUAUUACCUCAGAGGUGUAAAUGGGAAUCUCCACCGUCAAAUUCUUUUGAAUUCUAUACUAAUAAUACUGCAACGGUUUGUGUUUCUACACUAAAAAUUGAUCAACAACAUACACCUAUCCUAUACUUGCUUUGCAUGUAUAUGUCUGGGCUCAACUGACUGAAUGCUGAAAAUGAAAUGAUGUGUUUAAUCACUAUCUAUGAUGGCAUUUAGGGAUUUUUAGGGCAGCAUUGACGUGUAAUAUCAUAUGAACAUGCAACAGCGGUCCCUUAGUCGGGAACUGGGUAUGCACCUUAACCCCUGAAGCCCCUGACAUGUCAUAAUCAACUGAAAAUCAUGUUGAUGUCACCUGUGCUGGUGUGAUUAUGAAAGAUAUGCUGAAAGAGAGAUGGAGCAGAGAUGUAUUUUGUACUGGUUUGUGAUAGGGUAUAAAGUUUGAGCAUUAAAGACAGAAAUGAAUUGUCAUCUCUUCCCAAGUUACCAAUGUUAUCUGCUCACGCUAGCAGUUGCAAACAGAGGAGGGAGGCUUGCUGUAUUAGGGGUAAAUUCACAGGCCAGUCUCAUUAUCUGUUUUUUAAUUGUGUGGACUGCUGUUCUUCAGAGCUGCGAUUCUCAGUAUGUGGUCCAAAGAUGCCCAAAUUCAAGCUAACAGAAAAUGCUUCAGUGUAAAACCUUGUGGGUGCUAUUAAAGGAGAGCUCCUGUUAUCUAGCCAAUUAACUUGGGUCUCUCUUUUGUAGCUGCUGGUUAUAGUAAUGUCAUACAUAGUUGAAGAAUUGCUGGGCUCUGGAACCAUGGCAAAAUCGCUGCACCAAAGUCAGAAAAGGACAAGAAACACAAGCUUUCAGAUGACCACACCGGUUAUAAAUAAACCAACAGUACAGUAUUGUCUACCACUUUACUUGGAGCUAAAAGUGAAAGUCAAUGUACCCAAAAUAUUUGGGAUAAUCCCUCUUUGCACAGCAAAACCUUGUGCACAAUUAUGGUAAGUAGAGCGGGUCAUAGUUGACGAAGGUCUGUAAAUUGUAUUGUAUUGUCACUCUGGACAGUUUGGGUCAUAAUUUUACUGUUGACCUUUGUGUUUCAAAAAAGGCUAAACCUAGUUUUAUCCCCCCACAAAUACAUCACUGUCUGACCAUUUGUGUUUCUUGUCCCAUCUAUUUUGCAAGGUUGCUGUGCCCUUAGACGUCAACAAUCUUUUAGUGAGUGGUGAGUAGUAGUGAGUAACUAUAUAACAGAAACAAUUGCCAAACAGAUGAAAAUGAGUUUGAGUUUGUAAAAAAAAACAAAAAACAAAAACCUGGCAUUAUCCUUUAACAAGAGAGGAAGUAUUUUUAUGUGUAAAAAUAGUUUUAAAGUGGUCUUAAUCUGUGAUAUAAUCAGAUUUAAAUGCCCUUUUUGCUUCUGCCUUUUGAUAGAAUGAUGUAAUGCAUUCGUAAUGCCACCCAUAUUCAGUUUAUUAAAGCUCUUAUGUUUGCUGCACAGCAUCUGCUUGUCUUUUUCCAGGGAAAAUCCAUAGAUUCAAAGGAAGCAAUGAAUUUCUUGCGUCAAGCAGAAGUUUGUUGGGAUAUAAAUUGACAAUCUUAGUAAAUAGCAUGAGCAGCAGUCGCCACCAGGACAUAAGAGACAACAGAGAAAACAGUAUCAUAAAAAACACUAACUUAGUCAACAAGGAUCUGAACACAUGACAAUAUGUUGUCUCUGGAUGUGUGCAAAAUGAAAAAUUAAACACCAACUAUAUUACUAGCAUCUUACAGUACAGAAUGAACCACUUUCAUAGUGCUUUUCUAAGCCACUGUGUAUCAAAACAAAACAAAGAAAGCAAAAGAAAACAUUUUUAAUUGCAAUAUGUAAAAAUGUGAAUUUAGGAUGUGUCCUAUACUGUAUCACCUCCACAUUGGAAAACAUGGUCAGUACAGUAUACAACUAUUUCAGCAUCAAACCAUCUCCUCAACCUAAAAGGCAACAUGCCAGCUCCCCUCAGCAAUAUGAUUGCUUUCUCAGCCCCUUCUGGUGAAGUCAUUUUCUUUCUAUCUCUCUUACUUUGUUCAAAUUAUCAUGCCUGCAAAUAGUUCACAAAACGAACAUGAUCAACAGAGUUGGAUGGGUCAACAGUUAUUACUGAAGAGAGAUAAAAUUCAGAAUUUUCCAAAUCUGUUUAUCUAAAUGAGGUCAUUUCCUAAUUGUAAUUCUGCAGCGUGUGGGAGUCAGACUGUGACUUUGACAUGUCCGAACAAGUCUGGACAGGGCUGGUGACACUCAGUGGCUCUCUCUGUGGAACAGAACUUGAAUGCAAACUAGAAAGAAAGGAGGGAGUCUCAGUUUGUAGAUAAUACACGGAGUCCUUUCAUUAACCGGCAAGGUGAAGUCACCGUCCCACUCCCAUAUCCAAAAUGAUUUCCUGUGGAGGGAUACACCUGUAACUUUGUGGCCAGAGGUACUGGGUAGUAAAAAAAACUAUUUGAGACACCACCUCCAAUACAUUGAGCUCCACUGACAAUAAAAUAACAGCCCGUUUUUACUCUUUAUACUGAGGAAGAAUGAGAAGAAUAAAGUAAUUAUACUCUACAAUUAUCAGAGAUGAAUUUCAAAGAAGUCAUCAAUAUCUAAUGCAUUUAUCUGAGGAUGGGGUUCCUUUUAAAGUCACUCUGCCCUGUGAGGAUGUUUCUUUCCAUAGUUGUUAUAAUAUUAAUGUCUUAAAAACCCUCUCCCCUGUCUGCCUGUUUUGAAUGGCAGGUGAUGACAGCAGCGGCCUUUAUCUGUAAGUCUGUCAUCUGUCGCUUGUCUUUAACUGUUCCUAGUAAAUCAGCUGUGCAAAAACAUUCAAGCUUUGUUUAAAAAAUUCACCAGAAAGCUCAAAUGUUUUUUUUUCCAAUCCUCCCCCUCCCCCAACUUUCCUUAUCACUCUCCACCGUCAUGUGUUGGCUUUCUUCAGAUUGCUUUAUUCACUACUCAACUUUGGUUGCCAAAAACUAAAAGUUGGCUUUGUGAGCUAGUUGUAGAUUAAGCGUGUUUUCUGUGGGGAAUUAUACGUAAGUGUGUGAUGCUCACAUUUCCACACUGCCAUCUCUUUUAAUAGAGUUCCAAAGAACAGUUGUUUAAAGAAUGCUUGAAGUGAUUAUGCUCCCUCUGAGAAUUGCUUACUUACUUGUGGCGUUGUUUUUUUCUCCCCUCACAUUUACAGGGAAAAAAUAAAUCACCAUAACUGCUGUGAUAUUUAAAAUCUUUGAAGAAGGGAGUGUGAGGCAAGGCAAAGUGGGUGGCAUGGAAAAAGGGAAAAGGAGGGGAUGUACAUCCCUUCCCUUCCUCUGGUACCGUUUCGCUGACCCUUGGCCACAUCUUUUUCUGGCUGUGGUGACUGUGUUGGCUGCGCCCUAUCCCUCAUGUGGGAUCCAGCCGCUGAUGUCACAUUCCUGCCUGUUAAGGCUACAAGGAGUGCAUCACACGCGCUCAUGUACGUCACACGCCAGCCCUACAGGAAGUGUGUGUUUCCUUUUGCGAUUCUCCCUCUGUUUCCCAUUAUAUGCACAAAGGAGAAUGUCAUCCACUCUUGUGCUGCCAGACUGACAUUUUCUCUCCAUGUUUCAGUGAAUCAGCCAGAACCACAGUGAUUCAGAAAAGACGGUGAGUUGAAUCAAUUCUUCGGUCAUUUAUCUGGAUGAUAAAUAAGAAAGCAAAUCUACUCAACAUUGCUCUGCUCUGAAUACAGCUUACUGCCUUUGUCACACAUUAAAAUCAAAACAGUACUAAAGAAAAAAGAAUGACCUGACAGGUUUGGUCACACUACAUGUCUCACUGUGAACUAUACUUUACUGGUUUGAUGUUCUUGUAAGGCACCGGCCAUCAAUAUUAUUCGGUCACCUUUUCCCUAAAGAACAAUCAGUAAGGAGAGUUUUUAGACGAGAGGAAUGGAAACAUAUCAGGCAAUUACAUUGGACUCUUUGUUAAGUUAGUUACAGCUACAACACCAUUCUGUCCUGGCACAUAAUGACAGCUGAUGCUAGCAGAUUACAUCAGCCAUGCUAGCAUAAGCUAAUGCUAAGAAGGCUCCAGAGGAGACUUUUUAAUGCCACAGGAUUAUCCUAUUUGUUGUAAAAUUAAAACCUGUACUACAUGGUAUUACCGAGGUACUACCCACCAUGUAGAAAUGGGUAGUAAGACAUUACCCUCCAAAUGACAGAGAUGGAGUAUUGCUCUUAUAAGAGCCCUACACAUAUUGUUUAUGUUGAGUAAUCUGAGGUAGUUUAGGGACAAGAGUUUAGGGUAUGAUCAAAUUCACCCAUUCAGGAAGUUAAGUUGAAAAAAGCAAUACAGUGAAAUUAAAUAUCAAUUUCAUGGUCAUUUGGGUCUCCUAUAGACUUCCUAUUCCUGUUCCAAGAUAUUGUAUAUACAGAAGGAGCCCUUUGGAAUCUAUUAAAGCACGUCCCCUUUUAAAUGUAUUUUUCCUGCUGUGUCUCUCUUCACUGUCUUUGGUGUUUCAGCUGGGCUCAUUAUUCAUCCUCACUAAUGAUCAGGCACAAUAUCUCCUGCUGUGAGAACAGAACAUGAAACAGCACUAAAACCAGAGUCAAUGCAUCAGGAAGUCAAACAUCUGGAGAGAGACAGAUGAGAGAAGAGAGAGAGAGAGGAAGAAUUCGGCCAGACAUCCACUGCUCUGGGACAAUUUUACCUAAUUAGUAACUUCUGUUUUCUCAAGAGCUUUCUCUCUCCCCAGUCCCCCACAAUGUGUGUGUGUGUGUGUGUGUGUUAGAGAGAGAGAGGCCAUUGUAAUGCUCUUUCCUCAUAUGAAUUCCUGCCAAGGCCGCAAGCCAAGGCCUGUGUGAGUGUGUGCGGGUAGGUCUCUUCUUUUAAAGGGUUUCUCAGCUAAUGCUCGUUUCCUCUCAGGAACAAGCAUUCCUGAGUCAUUUGCAUCAGUUUGAUCAGACCCUUUCCCUUCCCACGACUCCGUGUUCGGACCUGAUGCAUCCUAAUGCAUUGUUCUAGUCUGCACAUUCAUUUCCCAGAUAGAUGUCUUAUGUUUAUGGCUUUCCCAUCCACCACCUUGACAAUUAUGUCUCCCUCAGGAGGCCAAACAAAAUACCCCCUGUUCAUCCACAGAAUCUCAGUUGUCACCUACAACCUGUUUCCUGGUUUCCUUCUGUUUUCCUUGUUUUAAAAAUAAUUGUAUUUUCUUUACAGACACUUUCAUUCCAUGGAUUUGAUCAAAUUAAAGUAUCCAAAGCCUUGGGUGAGGAAGACUUCUCAAUGCUCUAUUGGCGCUCAGAUUUUGUAGAUUUGUAUGUCUACCAAAUCAGUAAAUGUAAAUAAGGGUGUUUGAAGGUGCCCUGUGGAGGGUUGGACCAAUAGUGCGAAAUUUGGAGCAAAGUUUCUAUUCCCCAGUUUAUCUGUAGCUGUACUCUGUGCCUUAGCCAUAGUCAUACUGUUUUGAGCUAAAUGUGCUGGUUUGAUGAUCCUUUCUCCACCUCCUCCUGCUGCUGCCUCCAACGUGUCUGUCAGUCAAUCAUAACUCAGAAAUCUUGGCCGACACUGUGGCAGCCAAACUGACUCACCACUUCUUCUGCAUUUUCACAGAUUCUACACCGGGUGUGAUUUGUGUUAAAAGCUUGUUGAAGUCAGUUCAAAGAAUUAAAAUUAUAGCUAAACAUUGAAAUAACAGCUAUUUGGAUGAGACUCCUAAAAGAGUUUCUCACGCCCAUUUUAAAGCUGCAACAUUUCAGAUUUUCAUGAAUCUUGUGUGUAACACUGGAACAUGACACUGUUGCUUGUGAAUUUGAAGUACGGUACACUCAGAGCAGAUUUUUAAAAUGUGCACAUGACUUCUGUAAAUCAUAGUGUAGUGGUAACACAUUGUAAACAGUAAGUCUACAUUAGAAAAGCUCUCCGGUCCUUUGAUAUCUGAUACAACUUUGCUACUAAUGACAAGAUAACUGUCCAGAUGGCUUUCAACCCUUUGAGCACUGAGCCAAGUCAAAACUCUGACUGUCCUUCACUUGUCUGAGUGUGUGUGUACGUGUGUGUGUGUGUGUGUGUGUGUGUGUGUGUGUGUGUGUGUGUGUGUGUGUGUGUGUGCGUGGGAUGCACACUUACACCCUACACAAAAGUCAUGGGGGGCUGUGGUAGGGGGUUUUGUACUUUGUGGAAAGAUUUACUAAGAGUACUCUUACAUCCUGUACACAAACACACACAACCACCCACAUAAAUACCAACACCUUUCUGUUAGUCAGGUGCAGAGCCAGUUACAGUGCCCACAUCAACAACAAACUUGUUAGACAGACCAAAAUAAAAACACUUCCUUGGUACUAUGUGAUUUUUCCAUCAGUUAUGAACAUCAAAGACGCUGGUGGAGCAUUUCAGUUUACUACAGUUGGAAUAUCAGUGUCACACAGGUGCAACUUUAUCACUUGACAAAACUACUUCUCACAUAGACUGUGAAAUCGAGUGGGGAAUGUGGCUACACAUUUAAACUACCAAUAUGUACAAGUAUUGCAAAUAGAUUUAUUCUCAAAAUCUCUAAAAGUCUCUAUCGUGCUUUCAGCGAGUUGAGUUAGUACUGUAUCUGUCAUUCUGAUGACACAUUGUUUUUCAUUCUUGCUGGACCACAUGAAAAGUGAUGUGUAAGAUGUAAAUAUGUUUGUUUUUAAAACAAUAUUUGCGAUUUGAUUAUUCUCAAGUUAACUGUGCUUGCCUCACUCUACAGUAUAUUGUCACUGGACUGCUGUUAUUAUUUCUUUAACAGUUUAUUGUCUUCAUGAGCUCCCCAUGAGAUAUUUUUGGGAAACAACAUGUCCACACCCUUGAAUUAUGUGGAGACACCUUGUGUGAAAGACUGUUAAUCCACUAAUGUCUUUGGUGGGAAGAGACUCUGCUGACAGGACAGAAACACACACAGCUUGGAAACAGAUGGCCUGGAGACAGUGAUGCAGAGGAUGUACUGAGGCUCCAGAUUAAGUUUUCUAAAGGGAUUUCAUUGGGCUAAUACUGUAAACUGAUGAUUAAUUACAUCAGUAUAAGCUGUUUCAAUCGAUUAUUAAGUAAGCUCAACUUUUCAAAACCUGCAGCAGUAUCUCUAAAGGAAGCUUCAUCCCAAAAAUAACUAUUGUUUACUGAAUGUUUUCAGUAAAUAUGCUUGGUCAUCAAUCAUCGCCAGUGACAUCAUCAGUAAAUUAAUGUACUGAAAGUGAGAUUUAACACAGAAGAAGCAUCAGAAAGCCAUUAGACCACAGCAUGGUCAACAACACUCGUGACAGGAAGCAUGACGGGACGGACAACUCAUCCCCUGCUGAAUGAGAUCAUUGAGAAUGGACAGAUCAGCAGCGAGUCCUCCACUCAUAUGACAGCUGAUCAAGGUCAUUCACUAGCCAGGUCAGCUGCUCGCAUGACUGACACCAAGAAUGAAAACUGGGUGAAUGCUGCCAUGAAAGGACAAGUCAGGUGGUGGUUUGUCUGCAUUAAUCUGAUUUCUUACAGAUACAGUCAUCAUCAUCAUCAUCAGUCAUUAUGGACUGACAACAGAAGCAUUCAGGUCAUACUGAAAAGCUGUUAUCAUGACAUGCAGGACUUUUUUUUUGUCUCAGAUCAAAACUGACUGAGUUGACUUAAUGACAUAUCUCACCAAGGUGUGAUGAGAAAACAAGUGCAGCGUCAUUUCAGAGGUUGCUCCUUAACCCCACAGACAGUACUGUUUGGACUGCGGUUCAGAGUCCACAUAGUGUCUCUCCCUCAAACACCUUAGAGAACCAGACAAUCGAAGUUUAUAUUAUUAGUUUGGCUUUAUUUCACAUAGUCUUCAUCACCUGACAGCUUUCAUCAGUUGUCAUAGAGAUGGAUCUGUUAAGAUGCAAGUUCAUUGGCCGUUUCAGUUUUUAUCCAUAGCACUUUUAGAACUGUCAUGCUUAGUUUCAUUUAUCUUAGCUCAGUACGGAAAACCCCAUGUGACUCCUGGAUGAAAAACUCUACUGUGCAUGUGAGGGCCAUGUGGUACAAUCACAUGGGGAAUAUAUGUUUCAAACUUGGAACGUAUGGUUUUGGGACAUUUCCAUGUGGUAACAUGGCAAAUUGUGGCAGAAGUGUGAUACACAUAAAAUCCCAUGAGAAUUUUGUGCCUGGAAUUACCUAAAAAAAUAUCUCAGAAAUAACCUCCGUACGGGGAUAAUUAUUCCUUUGAUCCAGCAGCUCACAAGAUCACAAAGUCAGAUUUAGGCCCAUGCCUCUUUCAACUAAAUGUUUCCCCUUUUCACUGAGAAGUGUUUUUGUAAGCCUCAAGACAACUCUUUUUUUCUUUUCCUCAUAUAAUCUCUGAAGGCUACUUUCUCUGUUUGACAAUCAAGACACUGAAAAGCCUCCUACUACAAGUAUGUUUGAGUUCCAGUCCGUCUGUUGUAGAAUAAGAGCUUGUUGUUGGACAAGGCACCCUGGCCCCUCUCACACAUCUCAAUGGGAUACUUUGUGCUGUAUCCAUUUCUAUGUGGGGGCUGUUUGAAAAACCCCAAGAGGCUUUAUUAGCUCCUAAUUCAAAGUCAUGGCUCGAACGAAAAAUCCAGCUAACAAGAGAAGAUCUCAGAGCUAAUACUGUUAAUUGAAAUUAUCUAGAUGCAGAGAUUAAGAAAAGAGAAAAGAUCACAGAUAAGAUGUGAAAUGAUUUGCCAAAGAAUGCAUGCAAUAUUUGAAUUUCACACACUUUCCUUUUUUUUUCUUUUUUUUUUGGUCUCUGUCUCUGUUUCUCUUCCCCUGGUCUCUUUCACCAUUUCCCUUUCUGAUCUCCACAAACCCAAACAAACAUUAAGCGCUAAAGAGAGAUUCCAGACCAGGCUGACUGAUAAGAGGGGAAUUCCCACACUGUGGAUCAUUUGACACACAUAUACUCCUUCCCAUCUCCCUCUCCCUCUCCCCCUCUCUCUCUCACACACACACAAACACAGAGAGAGCCAAGUUUCGCCGUGGCACAAAGUUCAGCUCAGAUGAAAAGCUCAUGUUAAAACAAUAUGUCAUACUUUAAGUUCAGUCAAGAUUUAUGUCUGUGUUAGCUUUAUUUUUUGGAAAGACAAGGGGAAAAUGUUUGAUUUAUAACAUGGGAAGCACCUGCAACGUGAUUCCCCUACAUACAAAGGUUUUUAGAGAAAAGACAGAGGCCUUGUUUAUGAGACAGAACUUCUGUUGAUAAAAUCCCCAUUUUUCUGUGAAUUUACAUAGAAACACAAAUGAAGCAGCAAGUCUCUCUUUCUGGUUAAAGGUAAAGCAGCAUGACUCAUGUUUAUUAAAAAGGCUCAGCAACCUACUGUAUGUCACAUAUACACACAGUACUUGGGAAGCAGAUUUUAAAACCUUGUGACAGAAUUACAUAGGCUAAAGGCAGAAAUGGCCACCAGGACAGCGCAGUAUCAUUUACCGUCUAUGAAUAAAACCCCAAGGCAAGCUGACAAUACACAUACAGAGAUAAGAAUUUAAUCCAAACCAGGAGGAAUGAGGGGAAUACCCGCAACCUGACUGACUGACUGACUGACCGAAAGCAAACUCAGCCAGCCGUGAUAAUGGGAUUAUUGUGCUAUAUUUCAAGCUGUCCUGUGCCGACAGCUAGAAUAGUUGUAUGACUUUGUUUACUACAGCAGAGGUCUUGGACCCUGUGAGCCCUCAGAACAGAAACCAUGAUGAAUGAUUUUUUUUUUUUAUCCACCGCCCAUUUUGGCUCCCAUCCUGAGCUUAGUCUGAGAAACAGGAUACUGUAGAUGCUUAACCACAAGGAACCAUAUGUUAUAGAAGUUAAUUUGUUUAUCUUAUAAGCAGGGCGCAAGCAAUUUAUCAUUGCAAUGGAACGAUUAGCCUGUAAUUAACAUAAUUAAUCCAUGAUUAAUUAAACAUAAGUGUUGAGGAGUUGUAUCAGAAUUAUCAAAUUUCAUCUAAUCUGGAUGAGAAAUGGCCGUGAAAGCUGAUGUGGAAGCUGCGGUGCUUUCUUCUGGCUGAUGUUUGUAGAGGCAGGAGUCUUUAGACAGACUGUGGACUAGAUGAUGAUGGUUGAAAAAAGAAUCAGUUGAAGCCCUCAAACAAAAUGGCUGCUGAUCCGUAUUUACGCUAAUACUUUGAAGGGGACAAGUAAAAAAAUAUUUUAACAGGAAAUUAGCUUUUCCAGCAGUAUGUUAUGUGUUAGGAUGGUAGUGUUUUGACAAAUGAUAUAAAUAUCAAUCUAAACACAAUCUAACAUCACUGGUAAUUUGAUAUUUAUGUUUGUUAUGUUGCUGUCUUUAAUGAACACCAUUUCCCAUGUGCCUAGAUGUUAGAGAACAUUAGAGAUGAGUCUAUGAGUCUGUGAGUAAGUCGAGGAGUUGCCACUAGCUCAGACGUGUAAUAACGACUAAAUGCUGUAGAAGUUGUUAGGCUUCAGAGAUUACAACUAAACAGCAUUAGAAGAGAGAGUUUCAGUUUCUUACAUGGUGGGUGGUGAUUCAUCUUACAGAAAUACAGAAACUUAGUUCAUUUUUCAGAAAGACAGAUGAAAGGCAUACUAAAUGAGACACUGCUGAAGCUAGUGGGACAGAGGCUAGCCUGGACAUGAUGUCAUGAGGUCAUGACUUUGGCUCUCUAUACCAGGCAAAAUAGGGCUGUAGCAACGGCACCCCUGGGUUAUGUUUUAUUGAUUACAAAUUAUUUGUAGUGUUACAUUAAAGACAGCUCACUGCUGUUGUUGUUUAGCGAAGCAGGAGUGGUGUGGGUAGCAAGACCCAGUUGUUCUGGAAUGAGAAAGCAGAGACAAUGCACUGUACACCGAUGACAGGUCAGCUACAGAUGAUAAGUUACUACCCACAGAAAUCAAUAUGCCAUGACCAUCACAUCAACUACAAACAUAGUUUUACCAUAGGGCUAAUUCAGGUACACUGUUGGACAUAGAGGUAUACAAAGUAAAAAAACUUAUUACUCCUGAAUGUUUUUGAAUAUUCAUUAAUUCAAAUUCAAUUUUCACUUGUGAGUGUUAGCUACAUAGUUAAUUUAUUUAACUUUAUUUCUAAUAACACCUGCACUAUUGGCGAAGGGAAAUUUUACGAUGAGGAACUAGAUAAGACACUUUGUCAUUUGAUAAUAUGGUAAACAGUUGUCACAUAAAAAAGUGAGUGUGGAGGAGGGACAACAAUAGUUCUUUUAGUCAGCAAAAGACGCAACUACUCAGCUCUGGAUCUCCCCACCACGGCCUCCACUUCUUUUCAUAAUGUUCUUUAAUGUAUUUCAAUAAACUGCGGGGCUGUCCCACGGGUGCCACCUUCAUCAGAACAACCCACUGUUUGUAUUCACAAUCAAUCUUUCAAUAAGGGGAUCCCAGAAAACAAUGCUUCACAUCUGACUUGUGUGUCUGUGUGUGUAUUUGUGGAGGUGUGUGUGUGUGUGUGUGUGUGUUGGCGUGUAGGCGAAACCAAAGUGAGAAACAGCUACUUUAUCUUGAAAGACCCAAAGGUUUCUCUGCUUGAUGCUGCUGCGGGGUUUACCUCUUUUCCUGUAAUCUUUUCAGGGUUUACCAGAGUGCAUUUCCCUGUCUAAACCAAACAGUGGGCCAGAGGAGUAAAUACUGCAAGGUCAUGGUAGGAAAUAACAUUUAAAGGACAAUUAUAACCACAAGAGCUGAAAAACACGUCUAAAGGCUACCGAAAAAACAGCUCAUAUCAAACUGGCUUCUCUGAACUUCAGACUAAAAUAUAGCCGACUGUAAAUAGCUUAAGUUAGCAGAGCUGUAUUUUAUGAUGGGAGAGUGAUAAGUCUGGUAUUUAUUGGUAUGAAUGUCUUCUGAUGUUGUUUGCUCAUAAAAUGUUAUUACUUUGUUUUCAUCUACUCAAAUGUAUUCUUACGUGGCUUCAUACAAAAUCUUCAAAAAAGUUAAAUUAAUGUGAGUUUUGAAUGUUUGGGGCCGCCUUUAUCUAAGUUUCUCUGUUCUUUACCCUUUACACACUUAGCUUUAUAUAGUUACCUGAUUACAGAGAUUCUAGGGAAUGAAAAGAAGGAAGUGAAAGGGCAGUCAGUGGGUAAGAGAAAACUGAGAUGGUAAAACAGUAAUACUAUGAAAAUUUUAAGGGAAGUCUGAAUGUCAUCAGAUGAAAAUCAGCUCCCCAGAACAAACAGGUGGCCUUGGCCUGUUUCGAGUAAUAACGGUGAAUAAAUUAAAAUCACAAUGUUCUCCAUAGACACCACCACAAAUACAUUCCUAAGCAGUUACUGAUGCACGCUUUACUCUGUGCACUUUCUUUUACUUAACUCAGUCAGAGGAACCUCAUUUGAACUCUCUGAGACUGUUGACCAAAGGAGGGAAAGAUCCAUGGAAACCACUGUGGUUUUUCGCAGUAACUGACUCUGACCAUGGGCACAUUUUAGAGUAACUUCAUGUAUUUAAGACAGAGUUAACAGGGUUUCUGUUUUCCCCAGAAAAGUACCUGUACCCUAGUAUCAUCAGCAGGGUAUGCUCGAAAUGAAUUAGUUCAUAUGAAUGGUAGGCAAAUGUGUACUCUCGGAGGGUGGGGGGUUUAUAAAGAGGGCUAGUAUAUUGGACUGUCAGUUUCAGAGAGUUCAGCCCCCAAACCUCUGAGGUUAGAACCAUCUAGGAGGAGGGAAUUUCAGAUGUUUGAUCAUGCACCUAAAGCAUUUGCAUAGGUCUUCCUCAGGCAAAUACCCAGCUAAUCCCAUGCAAAGUAAGUGAAAAAUAUAAGUAAAGCUGUACAAGUACAAUUCAAAGACGUUUAACACGAUUCAAUCUGUAGGGCAGAUAAAUCUACAAAAAUAUCAACAUUUAAUUAUUCUAUAUUUGUGUAUUUGCUGUCACUAAUAAACACAUAAGGGAGUUGUGAUUUUAGUGUGUAGGCACUUUUUUUUAUUGUAUUCAUGAUGAUUUUAUGGUCUCACACACCCAGGUUUUGUGGAUGUGCAAACAACUAUUGUAGUCUGAUCACCAGUAACAGCACACAAACACACACACACACACACACACACACACACAAUGGAUUACAUAAUUAUUAUCACAUUGUUGUCCACACGCUACUGACAGACAGUGUCAUGGUAACCGCUUUUGUGAAAACAGAACGGAUUAACAGAAUGAUUUCCACCUACUCCUAUUUUAUCAUACUCCUCUACAAAGCUUGGUAUUUACAACCACACAGAUACAGCACAUAACUCUCUAUAAAAGUUGCAUAAAUUAACUCGGUAACCUUGACUCUGACUAUAAGUUUGGACAGAGUUUCAGUAGGGGAGUUUGUAUCAGUCUGUGUCAAGCUCUCAAGCUCUAUAAUGUUUCUUUUGCCCUUUUUCCUGUAAGCAUUCGGCACUCCCACACUGAGAGGCUGCAGAAAUUCCAGGCUAAUCUCUGUUGGGAUGAAACUCAGCUCUACACAACAGGCUGUGUUCAGAUCUGUUGUGAAUAUUUUGUUAUGUCAUGAAUAUUCUAAUCUUUCCUGAAUAUUCAUCUGCGGCUGUUAAGUGUGUAUGGGACUGUGUGUGUCUGCUCUCAGUGGAGGUUGUCAUUAAUUAAUGUGUUCCCACCAGUGCAGUAGUUAAAGGUUCCUGUGGAAUUUAUUACUUAAUAUAGUGUCAGCUCAGACUGAUCUUAAUCACAUGUCACAAGUGUUUAAAUCACACAUGUCUUCACUCACACAGUACACACUCAUAGAACAUAGAAGUGUGUCAUUUACAACAUCUGUGUUCAUCUGAGUGUGAGCCUAAGAACGAGACAGAAACCCACUGACAAACACGCAUAUACAAAAAUAAACACCAAACGCCUAAGAUCGCCUUUAUCAGUACACAAGCUUUGCAUGCAAACAGUUACACAUAUAAAUACUGACAUAUAUUACCAUAUAACACAAAGAACUGCAGUGUCACAUGCACAUGCAGUCACACAUGCAUGUACACAUAUUUAUAACGGUCCUAUCUGUUACUCAGUGUUCAAGCCCAGAUUCCAUAAUGCUGUACAGUGUCACACACAGAAACCAUAAGAAAUGUGUGGUGUGAGAAUAUAAAUGGGCCUUUCAUGACUUCUGAAUGAAAAUAAAAAUAUGAAGUUAUUAUUGGUUGCAGACCUAGACAGACCCAGACAGAUAGGGCUGCUGUUCCUUAAAAGUCCUUGUAAUUAUGUGCAUACAACUAAUUUUGUUGACUGAAUUACGUUUUGUAGUAACAUAAUGAGGAAUUGUUGUGUUUCUAUCAGUGUAUUUAUAUGUGUUUUUUUCAAGUAGUGCAUUAAAUGGUAGAUGGAAACACCUUCUCCAAAUGUUCUGUUUCUCUCUUAUGGAAACACACCUAAUUUGCAUUUUCUUUUCUUUUUCCUUUCUUUUUUAAUUGGCCGUAAACCCAACAACAGAUGGGAGUCUUGAUGCAAAAUCUGAAAUCUGGUGUCAAAGUCCUGCACUUUGUACGCCCACCAUCCACCAUGACCACCUCCCUGCAACUCCAUUCUGAAACUAGGUCCCUACCAUUUCUUCCCAAGGAUCCUCCCCCUUGCUGAGUCUGUCCGAUGUGCAAAGCUAAAAACAGUAGUGUGGAAAAUCCUGUUUUUGGUACUAUAGUGCACCCCCCGGUAGACAUGCACCUUAUUAUGUAAACACAUUGGCAACUUUCUGUCUCAUGUAUAAAUAGUACAAGCUCAGUCCUUGUAUCUUUUCUGUAACAUUUUAAAUACAGCUUAAAUCUGAAUUGAAUGCUGGUUAAUGAAAGGUUACAGCAGCCCAAGUUUAAAUAACCAGGUAUUAAAUGUGCAACUCUUUCCAAUUUAUAAGAGCACUAUCAAAACACAAGUCAUUUUAUUGUAAAAUAUUAUGCCCAAAUCAGCUCAUUAAAUCAGCAAAUUCUGUUAAUGAGCUGGCCAUAAGUUUUCAAGGUGAUACUUCAGUCUAUGAGUUGUGUUUUCAUUCACUUUUUUUCACCCUGUGGUGCGAGGCUAUCAUUCCAUUUUGCACGUUAGGUGCCAAAUAUCACAUGAGUAUUGCAGCUGUCUUGUCAUGUUUUAUAUAAAGCCAUUUAUGCAGACACACUUUGUUUGAAUGCCAAAAAAAGCAAUCACUUUAACAGAUCAGUGAAGUCAGCAAUGUUACAGAAAAGAUGUUUGCCUGCACUUAAGCAUGCAAUUCAUUAUCUGAUUCCUAACUUUCCUGCAUGCUUUGUCACAUCCUGUAAUUUUAAUGUGACCGCUUAUGAUGUUUUCAUGUAAAUAUUUGGAAAAUGUGAUCAUAUAAAAGAAUAAUUAGUGCAUUAUUCAAAGUGUUUUUCCUUGAGACCAGACUGUCUGCAGCCUCCCUGGUGCACUACACCCCAUACUGUUUUAUUACUGGAGGCGGGGGUAUGUGGGUAUGUGUUGCUGGGGUUUGUGUGUUUGUGUUUAACACUUCCUGGGUGAAUCACUGCCCUGGCCUCAUGCAGGGCUGAUGAUCUUUGGCUGGCUGGUGUGAACUCCUCACAGCUACUCUCUCAAGCAGCCUCUACACAUGUGAUGCCGGGGGUCUGAAGCGGAAAUCACACGUUAUGGUUUUAAAGAGCAUAUUUGCUUCGGCUCCACUUUUCAGAUGCAGUCAAAGGCGACGCAGCACAGUGGGACAGACACAAGCAAACGGCAACACAGAAUUCCUCAGCCAAGUUUAGGAGUGGAGAUUUUAGGGCUUUAGCCGUGAAAGCUGCUCCAGCCAUAUUAUGAAUGAUAAUGGCUCUGGGUUAUGUCCCUGCUACACUAUAUCAACGUGAGCUUUACCACAGAGGGAGCAAAGUGUUGGAUGAAUGACAUGUAUAAAAUAUAACUCGUGAUUUUAAUUAGAAACAUAAUCAUUCUCGCUCAGAGCAUUUUUCUCAGAGAAAACAAAAUACUUUUCUUCCUGCAACUAAAUGAUAAAACUCUUGAUUUCUUUGCAAAUAUAUGAAAAGCAGAUGUGGCUUUGCCUGUGAACAAUAUAUUGAUUCACAUAAUACAAAACCUUUGAAACCCAAAGUUUUAAUUUAUGCAGCUUUGGAGAAAGGUGCAGUUGGGUUCUCAUUUUCAUUUCAAAGAAAAUAUUCUCAUUUAGAGCAACUUGUUUUAGAGAGUGGCAGAUGUUCAAAAUCCCAACCUCAUUAUACACUGAAUAUUGCAAAGUAAUUGA